rnacentral:rRNA from 1 species
GGGGAGCAAACAGGAUUAGAUACCCUGGUAGUCCACGCCGUAAACGAUGUCGACUUGGAGGUUGUGCCCUUGAGGCGUGGCUUCCGGAGCUAACGCGUUAAGUCGACCGCCUGGGGAGUACGGCCGCAAGGUUAAAACUCAAAUGAAUUGACGGGGGCCCGCACAAGCGGUGGAGCAUGUGGUUUAAUUCGAUGCAACGCGAAGAACCUUACCUGGUCUUGACAUCCACGGAAGUUUUCAGAGAUGAGAAUGUGCCUUCGGGAACCGUGAGACAGGUGCUGCAUGGCUGUCGUCAGCUCGUGUUGUGAAAUGUUGGGUUAAGUCCCGCAACGAGCGCAACCCUUAUCCUUUGUUGCCAGCGGUCCGGCCGGGAACUCAAAGGAGACUGCCAGUGAUAAACUGGAGGAAGGUGGGGAUGACGUCAAGUCAUCAUGGCCCUUACGACCAGGGCUACACACGUGCUACAAUGGCGCAUACAAAGAGAAGCGACCUCGCGAGAGCAAGCGGACCUCAUAAAGUGCGUCGUAGUCCGGAUUGGAGUCUGCAACUCGACUCCAUGAAGUCGGAAUCGCUAGUAAUCGUGGAUCAGAAUGCCACGGUGAAUACGUUCCCGGGCCUUGUACACACCGCCCGUCACACCAUGGGAGUGGGUUGCAAAAGAAGUAGGUAGCUUAACCUUCGGGAGGGCGCUUACCACUUUGUGAUUCAUGACUGGGGUGAAGUCGUAACAAGGUAACCGUAGGGGAACCUGCGGUUGGAUCACCUCCUU